CGAAUGCAGUGAAUACUCAGUGAUUAUAGUUUAUACUGAUUAUACUUAUAGAUCUACCAGUUGAUAAUCAUCAUCAUCAUAGAUAAUAAUCUAGACUAGUAUUCUAGAUCUAUAAAUAAUCAUAGUCACCGUGAUAGUGCCCUUUUUAGUCAAUGUAGUCAAGUCAAGAUAGUGGAACGUAAACUCGAAGGUUUAAUACAAUACAGUAUAAGCUAUGAUUAUUAACAAGUAGAACCAUGCCAACCAGUUCUGAUGAUGUACCAGAAUGGCUCAAGGAUCAUACUUAUACUAUUUCUACUCUCUGGGCAGACAUUAAUAAUAUUGGCAUCCAUUCAAUAUUUAUUUUAUGUUUGGAAAUGGAAGAAAAAGGCAUGCAUUCCUGACAAGUCAAUGAUUGGUUGCACCUCUAAAGAUAACUUUCUGUUAUGAGAAAAGAUGAGAUUCUUGGACUCCUGCAUAGCACCACCAGAAAGGAUAAUCCCAUCAUGUUGCAAAAUAAAAGUCUUGGACCAAUUUUAAUUUAAGAUAUAUAUAUUAUACUGUAAGCUCUAUACAUAUUUAUGUGUAUCCUGUCAUUCAGCCAACAGGUUUGGAUUUAGUAUUUCUUUAAAUCUGUUUGAUAUUGUACUUGAAAACUAUUAAUCUGAGCCCCAUUAAAACAAUAGGGAGUGCAGUGAAUGAGUGGUAAAGCACUUGGCUUCUGAACUGAGGGUUCCUGGGUUCGAUUAAGACUGGGAUUUUCAAUUUCAGAAUUCAAAAGGCUAGGGAUACAUGGCAAUAGUAAGGAAUAAGUAAAGGCAGUUUGGGGAUCCAUGGCUGAAUGGUUAAGUCAUGGGUUUGAAUCUCUGUUAAGACUCAGAUUAAAAAUUUUUUUAGAUUUUUGGGUGCCCCUGAGUCCACCUAACUCUAAUGGGUAGCUGACUUUCAUUUUGGAAAGUAAAGAUGGUUGGUUGUUGUGCUGGCCACAUGAUGCACUGGCCAAAGAAUCAAAUGACCCUAUAGAUUGUGACGUCUGAAAUGGGAUUUUUUUUUCAAAAGGUGGUUGGUUGUUGUGCUGGGUACAUGACACCCUCGCUAACCAUGGGGCACAGAAACUGAUAAACUUUAUAUCAUCUGCCCCAUAGAUUGCAAGAUAUGUAAGGGAAAUUUUACUUUUUUAAAAUUAAAAUAAGAAUCUAUCAAAAGUAAACAUAAAAUAUGGUGCAUUCUCCUUAAAACUAAAACCUGGUGCGAAGGUUUAAAAUGUUGGCAAAAAAAAGCAACAUCAUAUAUUCUUAAUUCCCUUUGCAAAACUUACUGAGAAGAAUAUGCAUGUUGUUCCCUCAUAAGUUUCUUGACAGAGGAAAUCUUGUUUAUAUUAGAUUUGAAUUAAGAAAAAAAUUAUAAUCAUUAUUUCAAAUGGUUGUAUCUAAACCUUUUAUGAAUUAUUUUUCAGUCAUAAGUAUAUUGAGAUUAAUGGAUAAUCAUGAAAUUGUUAAAUAAUUGCUGCUAUCAUUCCAUUGACUAAAGAACCAUAAUUUUUUUUUUUUUUAAUUAAUUUCAAAAUGAUAUUUUUCAAGCAUAGAGUUCACAUAGAUCUUGAGUGAAUUUUUUUUUUAUUUGACUAAUGCUUCAAUUUUAUUGUAUCAUAUUAGUUGUUAAUUUUUAUUACCCAGAAUAAUGCCUGUACUUCAGAAUAUUUAAAAAAUGAGUACACUAUUUUCAUGUAAUAAUGUAACUUGGUAUUCACACAAUGCUCAAAAUACACCAUAAUCUUUAGGCCAUACAGAUUUGUAUAAAUUAACUUGUUUAAAUACAUUGUAAAUGUAUAUUGUUUGGAUAAGAAUAAAGUUUUUCUGUAGACAAUUAUUGUUCAAGAUUUGUUGAUGCUCCUGCUAAAUCAAUUAUAUAUACAGGUCAUUAGUUUUAACACGUCUGAUAAUAAAUGACAGUACAAGUUAGUGAAUGAAAAUUUGUCAUUAUUUCAGCUGCUUUAGUCCUACAUCAAUGUGAGGUACCAGUACUUUGAUUGUGUCAUAUAACAAUUUAAAGCAACAUUUUGAAAUGAAUAGUCUGUAGAAUUGACAGUAAAUACAUUUAAGUGAUGGGCUGUGAUCUGCGUGAAUUGAGAGCUGAUAAUGUA